AUACGGAGGGUGCGAGCGUUAAUCGGAAUUACUGGGCGUAAAGCGUGCGUAGGCGGUUUGUUAAGUCAGAAGUGAAAGCCCUGGGCUCAACCUGGGAACGGCUUUUGAGACUGGCAGACUAGAGUUGAGUAGAGGGGAGUGGAAUUUCCGGUGUAGCGGUGAAAUGCGUAGAGAUCGGAAGGAACACCAGUGGCGAAGGCGACUCCCUGGACUCAAACUGACGCUGAGGUACGAAAGCGUGGGUAGCAAACAGGAUUAGAUACCCUAGUAGUCC
rnacentral:rRNA from 1 species